rnacentral:rRNA from 1 species
UGGUGGAGUGAUUUGUCUGGUUAAUUCCGAUAACGAACGAGACCUUAACCUGCUAAAUAGCCCGGCCGGCUUUGGCUGGCCGUUGGCUUCUUAGAGGGACUAACGGCGUUUAGCCGUUGGAAGUUUGAGGCAAUAACA